CCUACGGGUGGCAGCAGUCGAGAAUCAUUCACAAUGGGGGAAACCCUGAUGGUGCGACGCCGCGUGGGGGAAUGAAGGUCUUCGGAUUGUAAACCCCUGUCAUGUGGGAGCAGAUUAAAAAGAUAGUACCACAAGAGGAAGAGACGGCUAACUCUGUGCCAGCAGCCGCGGUAAUACAGAGGUCUCAAGCGUUGUUCGGAAUCACUGGGCGUAAAGCGUGCGUAGGCUGUUUCGUAAGUCGUGUGUGAAAGGCGCGGGCUCAACCCGCGGACGGCACAUGAUACUGCGAGACUAGAGUAAGGGAGGGGGAACCGGAAUUCUCGGUGUAGCAGUGAAAUGCGUAGAUAUCGAGAGGAACACUCGUGGCGAAGGCGGGUUCCUGGACAUUAACUGACGCUGAGGCACGAAGGCCAGGGGAGCGAAAGGGAUUAGAUACCCUAGUAGUC
rnacentral:rRNA from 1 species